rnacentral:misc_RNA from 1 species
UUUCACACACUACUUUUCGUUUUCUUUCUAUGCCUUCUUGAAUUUCAAUCUUUAUGCAUGGUUCUUUGAGGUUCUUUAUUUUCCAUUGCUCAAAUAUAUCCAUGAAAUUCGUAUUUUUCUCAAUUAGUUUUGACCUUUGUGCCAACACAAUUCAAUGCUCAUUUCCUACUAAGACUUCACUGCUCAAUAUUCAAACUGGGAAAGAGAUGAAACAAAGAUGAAACAAGCAAGGCAAACUACAAACCUUUACUCCCUUGGGACAUUGAGGACUAAAAUUUCUGCUUUUAGAAUGUUCCCCUAUUGGACUAAUGAAAAUUUGUGACUGCCUGACUGAUUAUAGAAGUG